UACGGGGGGAGCAAGCGUUGUUCGGAUUUACUGGGCGUAAAGGGCGCGUAGGCGGCCACCGCAAGUCGGUUGUGAAAUCUCUGGGCUUAACUCGGAAAGGUCAACUGAUACUGUGCGACUAGAGUGCAGAAGGGGCAACUGGAAUUCUCGGUGUAGCGGUGAAAUGCGUAGAUAUCGAGAGGAACACCUGCGGCGAAGGCGGGUUGCUGGGCUGACACUGACGCUGAGGCGCGAAAGCCAGGGGAGCGAACGGG
rnacentral:rRNA from 1 species